GACAGAGGGGGGCAAGCGUUGCUCGGAAUUACUGGGCGUAAAGGGCGCGUAGGCGGGAUGGCAAGUCGGUCGUGAAAUCCCUCGGCUCAACCGAGGAACGUCGAUCGAUACUGCUGUUCUUGAGGAUUGCAGAGGAGACUGGAAUUCCCGGUGUAGCGGUGAAAUGUGUAGAGAGUCGGGAGGAACACCGGUGGCGAAGGCGGGGU
rnacentral:rRNA from 1 species